AAAGGAAUAGACGGGGGCCCGCACAAGCAGUGGAGUAUGUGGUUUAAUUCGAAGCAACGCGAAGAACCUUACCAGGGCUUGACAUAUACAGGAAUAAACUAGAGAUAGUUUAGCUCUUCGGAGUCUGUAUACAGGUGGUGCAUGGUUGUCGUCAGCUCGUGUCGUGAGAUGUUGGGUUAAGUCCCGCAACGAGCGCAACCCCUGUUUCUAGUUGCCAGCACGUAAAGGUGGGAACUCUAGAGAGACUGCCGUUGAUAAAACGGAGGAAGGUGGGGACGACGUCAAAUCAUCAUGCCCUUUAUGUCCUGGGCUACACACGUACUACAAUGGCUAUAACAAAGGGAAGCGAAAGAGCGAUCUGAAGCGAAACUCAAAAAAGUAGUCACAGUUCGGAUUGUAGGCUGAAAUUCGCCUACAUGAAGCUGGAAUUGCUAGUAAUGGCAGGUCAGCAUACUGCCGUGAAUACGUUCCCGGGCCUUGUACACACCGCCCGU
rnacentral:rRNA from 1 species